ACGUACGGCCAUAGAUACAGGAGAAUACGGGAUCCCGUCCGCUCUCCCUGAGUCAAACCUGUAAUCGGCGGAUUAGUAGUUGGGUCGGUGACGACCAGCGAAUACCCGCUGCUGUACGUU
rfam:Sporothrix schenckii ATCC 58251 unplaced genomic scaffold supercont1.4, whole genome shotgun sequence.